rnacentral:lncRNA from 1 species
AUAUUUAAAAUAUAAUAAAAUAUUUUAAAUAUAAUAAAAUAAGUGGAGUUUAAAAAAUACAAUAAUAGGUAUAGAACAAAAUGGAUUUUUUUUUUCCUUCUUAGUUUGAAGAAGAGCCUCCUUGGACUUUUGCUUUGUCCAUGCCAAAUUCCCUCCAUCUCUGACCCAGAGCUAGCCAGCAGAAAGGUUGGAGAGCAGGUGGACCCCUGGAAUUUUCCAGCUGGAAACAGCCCUCGCCUCCUCCUGGAAAACAUUCCAUCCUCCUUUCCCUUGCUGGGGAAAGAGGGAAAAGGGAUUUUGUAUUUCUCAGCCCCAGCAGGUUCCUACAGAGGCUCCAGAGGGAGUUGUGCUGUCCCAGAGGGUGACACUGACAGCUUAGAAACUCUUUAUUUAAAUACUUUAUUUAAAGCUUAAUGCAGUUAACUUUUGUAGAUAGAUAGACAGAUAGAUAGAUAGAUAGAUAGAUAGAUAGAUAGAUAGAUAGAUAGAUAGAUAGAUAGAUAGAUAGAUAGAUAGAUAGAUAGAUAGAUAGAUAGAUAGAUAGAUAGAUAGAUAGAUAGAUAGAUAGAUAGAUAGAUAGAUAGAUAGAUAGAUAGAUAGAUAGAUAGAUAGAUAGAUAGAUAGAUAGAUAGAUAGAUAGAUAUAAACAAUUUCUUCUCUCACUUCCCUAAAUGAAAGCUGGAUUUAGGGGGAUACAUUACUUGGGGUGGGGGUCGUUUUGUUUUGUUGUUUUUUUUCCCUUCAAAUAAAUUAAUUUGUUAUACAUAUAAAAAUAUAUUACUUGGGUUUCCUUUCAGUUUCAGGUGACACAAAGGGAGAGGGAGGACAAAAGAAUGGAAGACCAGCACAAGGACUUCAGUGGGUUGAAGCGCGGGGCACACCGGGGUUCACAAGCCAAGGACUCUGCGACACACACAUGGCACCACUCAGACUUGGGACACGUGGCCUUGCUCCCAGCAGGACACGACAGCACCAGAAAACGAAAUAAAGGAACUCCCAGGAUCUGGAGCUGGGGGAGGGGCUCUCCUCCCCCAGGGACGUAACAGCGCCAAACACCGAAGGACAGGGGGAGACGAGGCUGGGCACGGGGCCCUGCUCCUGUCCCGGGGGGGACAGGGACACAGCCAGCAGCAGGGGGGGUCCAGAGCACCCCAGAGCACCCCAGGACAUUCCAGAGGACUCCAGGGCAUCCCAGGGCACUCCAGAGCAUCCCAGAGCACUCCAGAGCAUCCCAGGACAUUCCAGAGCACUCCAGAGCAUCCCAGAGCACCCCAGAACACUCCAGAGCACUCCAGAGCACCCCAGGACAUUCCAGAGGACUCCAGGGCAUCCCAAAGCACUCCAGAGCAUCCCAGAGCACCCCAGAGCAGCCCAGGGCACCCCAGUGCACCCCAGGACAUUCCAGAGGACUCCAGGGCAUCCCAAAGCACUCCAGAGCAUCCCAGAGCACCCCAGAGCAGCCCAGGGCACCCCAGUGGACCCCAGGACAUUCCAGAGGACUCCAGUGCACCCCAGAGCAUCCCAGAGCACCCCAGAGCACCCAGAGCAUCCCACAGCACCCAGAGCCCGGCUCUCCAUGGGAACAGGCACAGAGAAAUCCAGGGAAGGCCACGGGGAGGGGCGAGGGAACAUCCCAGGGCGGCUCAGCGCAACCCCGGCACGGAGACCAGAACAACCCCCAGCAGAAGGCCACAAAAGCACCCGCAGCUUCAGCCCUCCCAGGUCUGCAGCUGGGGGAACAAGCUGCACCCUGACUGCUGGCACCGGGCACAGGCUGCUCCCAGCCCCAGCCAGGCUCUGGUGCCGCUCCAGGCUGGGCUGCCCGGCUCCCACGGCAUCUCCCACCCACCCCGUGACAGCCCCCAGCUCACAAAUCCCUCAUUCUCCCAGCUGCCCUCCUCCACAGUGCUUUUUUCCCUCAGCAAAGCCACCAAGCUCUUUUGGGACCCGUCCUCCGCCCUGCCCAAGGCAGGAAGAGAGCCCCAGACUGGCACCGGUUUGGCAACGAGCUGGGAGAUGCAAAGGAGCAGUUCAUAA